UUGCUUCUCACUUUGAUAUUUAAAAGAUGUUCAAUACACUGUUUGAAUGUGCUGGUAACUGCUUUGCUUCUUGAGUAGAGCCACCACCACCAUAGCCCAGCCAGAUGAGUGCUCUGUGGACCCACAGCCUCAGCUGAGUGUGACCCCAGAAGCCACGAUGUGUUCUGUAUCCAGAACACACUUGGCAGAUGGAGGAAGCAUCUGAGUUUGAGACCAUGGCUGUUACAGGGAUCAUGUAAACUUGCUGUUUUUGUUUUUUCCUGCCGGGUGUUGUAUGUAUGGUGACUUGCGGAUUUAUGUUUCAGUGUACUGGAAACUUUCCAUUUUAUUCAAGAAAUCUGUUCAUGUUAAAAGCCUUGGUUAAAGAGGAAGUUUUUAUAAUCUAAAA
rnacentral:lncRNA from 1 species